UUAAAUUGAAGAGUUUGAUCAUGGCUCAGAUUGAACGCUGGCGGCAGGCCUAACACAUGCAAGUCGAGCGGUAGCACAGAGAGCUUGCUCUCGGGUGACGAGCGGCGGACGGGUGAGUAAUGUCUGGGAAACUGCCUGAUGGAGGGGGAUAACUACUGGAAACGGU
rnacentral:rRNA from 1 species